rnacentral:rRNA from 1 species
CAGUAGCCGCGGUAAUACGUAGGGUGCAAGCGUUAAUCGGAAUUACUGGGCGUAAAGCGUGCGCAGGCGGCGAUGCAAGACAGAUGUGAAAUCCCCGGGCUCAACCUGGGAACUGCAUUUGUGACUGCAUUGCUGGAGUACGGCAGAGGGGGAUGGAAUUCCGCGUGUAGCAGCGAAAUGCGUAGAUAUGCGGAGGAACACCGAUGGCGAAGGCAAUCCCCUGGGCCUGUACUGACGCUCAUGCACGAAAGCGUGGGGAGCAAACAGGAUUAGAUACCCGAGUAGUCCCUGUCUCUUAUAA